UACGUAGGGGGCAAGCGUUGUCCGGAAUCAUUGGGCGUAAAGAGCGUGUAGGCGGCCAGAUAAGUCCGCUGUGAAAACUCGAGGCUCAACUUCGAGCUGUCGGUGGAAACUAUUUGGCUAGAGUCCGGAAGAGGAGAGUGGAAUUCCUGGUGUAGCGGUGAAAUGCGCAGAUAUCAGGAAGAACACCCGUGGCGAAGGCGGCUCUCUGGGCCGUAACUGACGCUGAGGAGCGAAAGCGUGGGGAGCGAACAGG
rnacentral:rRNA from 1 species